rnacentral:rRNA from 1 species
UACGAAGGGGGCUAGCGUUGCUCGGAAUUACUGGGCGUAAAGGGCGCGUAGGCGGACAGUUUAGUCAGGAGUUAAAGCCCAGGGCUCAACCUUGGAAUCGCUUUUGAUACUGGCUGUCUUGAGUACGGGAGAGGUGUGUGGAACUCCGAGUGUAGAGGUGAAAUUCGUAGAUAUUCGGAAGAACACCAGUGGCGAAGGCGACACACUGGCCCGUUACUGACGCUGAGGCGCGAAAGCGUGGGGAGCAAACAGG